AUGGCGCUGCGGUCUCUUCUCAGAAAGAUGCCGGCCCUUGGUAGCAGGUCGCUGCCGAUGGCCCCCUCUAAGCUGCCCGUGCACGCGCUCUCCCCGGCAGCAGGUUCUCGCCUCUUCCACCAUGGUGCUACGGGACACAUCAUGUAUUCUGGAGAGUCAUUGGCCCGAUUGCGGGAGAAUACAAAGCUCGAGAAAGCUAGGCUAGAAAAGGACAUGAUGGAAUUAAACAAAAGAAUGGAGGAUUGGCAUAAAAUCAAUAAUAGCCAUGAUUGGCGUCAGGAUGAAGACUACAUAAAUUUCCGCAAGAAACUUCGUAGAAUAGAGGUGGCGUGCAAUGUUGUUCUUUUGAUAACCGUGCCUGGAACUGCUGCAAUGCUGUAUAAUUUAUUUUAG
rnacentral:rRNA from 1 species